UACGUAGGUGGCAAGCGUUGUCCGGAAUUAUUGGGCGUAAAGCGCGCGCAGGCGGUCCUUUAAGUCUGAUGUGAAAGCCCACGGCUCAACCGUGGAGGGUCAUUGGAAACUGGGGGACUUGAGUACAGAAGAGGAAAGCGGAAUUCCACGUGUAGCGGUGAAAUGCGUAGAGAUGUGGAGGAACACCCAGUGGCGAAGGCGGCUUUCUGGUCUGUAACUGACGCUGAGGCGCGAAAGCGUGGGGAGCAAACAGG
rnacentral:rRNA from 1 species